UUCAAGUAUGAGGCUGAGUCCUCAGUAUCUGCUAAAGUUGUUGCUGUUUUUGCACAGCUUUAAUGCUCCCAUUGUAGAGUCUUGGAGGAGCCUAUCUCAAAGAGAGACUUGAGAAUGGAUUUUGCUGUGGCAUUGGUGGACUUCCCCCCUGAAACCAUGGCCAGGCACAUCUGCACCAUCUCAGCCAUGAGGACCAUCUGGAAGAAGGGUUUUACGUGGAUGCUGUUCUGUUCUGCCUUUGUAUCAUGUCAUCAGGGAAGUCCAGAAGACAGUGGAAACACUUUCUGUUGUCCAUCUAGUCCUAAGUGCCGACCCUGUUGUGGUUUAACAGGCAGCUCAGCAACACAGCUGUUCUCUCGCUCUCCCCAUGUAGGAAGGACUGGAGAGGGAAUCGGAAGGAUGAAAGUGAAACUCAUGGGCAGAGAUGGAGACAGCUUAAUAGGCAAAGCAAGAGCUGUGUGUACAAGCAAAGUGAAAUAAGGAAUCCAUUUGCUACUUCUCAUCAGCUGGCAUUUGUUCAACCCAUCACAUGCAAUGGUUUAUUGGUAAAACAAAUGCCAUUGCUCCUUCUUUACCUCAGCUUUUAUUGCUGAGUGUGGCACUGUAUGGUACGGGGCAUCCCUUUGGCCAGUUUUGGUCAGCUGUCUUGGUUCUGUACCCUCCCAGCUCUUUGUGAGCUCCUUGCUGCUUGCUCCUGCCUCCUUUCUGGUAGAGCAUUGUGAGAAGUAGAAAAGUCCUUGACUCUGUGUAAGCACUGCUCCACAGCAACUUAGAACAUCGGUGUGUUAUCACCACUAUUUUAAUCAAAAGUCCAGAAUGCAACAUCGUAUAAACCUCUGUGAAGAAAAUUAACUCUAUCUUAGCCAAAAGCAUGACACCCCCAAACACAAGUGGUUUGACAUGAACCAUUCUUGAGAAAUGCUUUUCUGGAAGGUUGGACAAGCAACUUUCCAUGAGCAAGUCUCUCCAGCUUCCUGAUCCUUAUAUUGAGGAACUCCUUCCUCAGACUCAGUCUAAACCUCCCUUAAAGUUGCCCUUUAAGCUCAGUACUUCCUGUCACCCCUCAAGUGGCUUAUGGAGAACACUGCUCGCUAAAGUUACCUUUUAUGUAUUUGAAUGUUGUCAUGUAUCUCAUUUCUCUCUUCUAAACUAAACAAUGCUAAUUCUUUCAGUCUCUCCUCUGAGGUCAUACUUCCCAUAUAUUUGUGCUUUGGUAAAGGUCACUGGCAGCUGACAUAGUCUUAUGGCACAAAAAUU
ensembl:lncRNA